rnacentral:lncRNA from 1 species
GCGUGCUUUGCUUGAUGAGAAUGUCAGUUAUCCAAGAUUUUUUAUUUUUGGGAUUUGGACAAAUAUGCGGUAGUCUAUUAUGGUUAUACUGCAUAAGUAAUUGAGAUUUUAUAAUGAUUUUUUUGCUUCAGAGGAAAAAGAUUCAGGCUCAGUCAGAAAUUCAUUGAAAUUUUUUUGUUUGUUAAAAGAGCUAAUUGAAGGUCUAUAUUUGGACAAUUAGUCUACCCCUGAGGUGGGCUAUGAAUUUGUGAUUUUUUCCUUCUUUGCUCUAAUUGAAAGCACUCCAUGCUAUAUCACAAGGCAAGCCGCUCCCCUUUUUUUCUUUUCAAAUUCUCUCAAUUUUGGUGUUUGUUGAAUGGACAUUCUUCUUCUCGCUAUUAAGUUUUUCUUUCUUUAUAAUGCUUUUAUUUGCAGGUAAGUUGACCUAGUGUUAAGCUAAAAUUAUGAGCACUACGAUUCUCGACAUCAUGGUGCAAAGGUGAGUUCUCGACAGAAAGGGCUAUGACGAAACUGGCAGAUGAAGGAACUUCGAUCAUCUUAACGGAAGAGGCAGUUACCGAG